UUAAAUGUUACAUUCUAUUAUACAAAAACCCCACUUGUCAUUUGUGUUUGAAUAUAUUGAAUAUUCACAUAUGAAUAUAUUAAUUUGAUUCAAACCAUUGGAAGUUUGCGCACUAUCUCAAGUAUUCACAGCAUAUUAGACUGUAUCUUCUAUCUCUCCAAUUGCAUUUAAUAUAGAGCAUGAACUUAAUAACAUAUUUGUGUAUUUGAGAACAAAUUGAUCAACUGACAGCAAACAUUUUUGAGAUAAUCCCUCUAUGUUUAACUUUCAUUUGCAGAAUGACAAAGCCCAAAAAACAACUGUGCCCCUCCUGCCAGGCCCCAAAUUCCCUUGGGCGUAAAACAUGUGUGGUGUGUGUCUGCCCCCUUCAAAUAAAUAAAACAUUUUAAAAAAAAGAAGCGGAAUUAAAGGACUCUAGCUGGGGGGCUUCUGUGAAGAGCAACAGGAACGCCAGCAGGACCGUUAAGUCGGCCGAGCUAUCUGUUCUUAAACUACACACCCUUGGCUCCAGCCCGGUCCUUUUCCUUUCCAAUAAGGGCCGCAGUGGGGAGAUCCGUGGGGAUCUGGUCCACCAUUUUGGAAAUGCUGAUGGGGUCGUUAGGGAGAUCCUACUCAAAAUGAGGAAACUCUAUGAGUACCUCCUGAAAAUGUGUGCUGCACAACAAGCUGCAUCUACAUCUGCUGGUCCACCAGCCCCCCCUGGACCAGAGCAAGAGCCAGAGCGAGAGACGGAGCG